rnacentral:rRNA from 1 species
GACGAACGCUGGCGGCGUGCCUAAUACAUGCAAGUUGAGCGCUGAAGGUUGGUACUUGUACCGACUGGAUGAGCAGCGAACGGGUGAGUAACGCGUGGGGAAUCUGCCUUUGAGCGGGGGCAAAAUUUGGGAACGAAUGCCAAUUACGCAUAAAAACCUUAAAAACAAAGUUUAAGGUUGGAAGAUGGCAUUGCAUUACCCAAAAGAGAAUCCGCUUUGUUAUAGCUAGUUGGGGAGGUAAAGGGUCAACAAGGCGAUGAUACAUAGCCGCCCUGAGAGGGUGCUCGGCCACAUUGGCACUGAGACACGGCCCAAACUCCUACAGGAGGCAGCAGUAGGGAAUCUUCGGCAAUGGACGCAAGUCUGACCGAGCAACGCCGCGUGAGUGAAGAAGGUUUUCGGAUCGUAAAACUCUGUUGGUAGAGAAGAGCGUUGGUGAGAGUGGAAAGCUCAUCAAGUGACGGUAACUACCCAGAAAGGGACGGCUAACUACGUG